rnacentral:rRNA from 1 species
AUUGAACGCUGGCGGCAGGCCUAACACAUGCAAGUCGAGCGGAUGAAGGGAGCCUGCCCCUGGAUUCAGCGGCGGACGGGUGAGUAAUGCCUAGGAAUCUGCCUGGUAGUGGGGGAUAACGUCCGGAAACGGGCGCUAAUACCGCAUACGUCCUGAGGGAGAAAGAGGGGGUUCUUCGGACCUCACGCUAUCAGAUGAGCCUAGGUCGGAUUAGCUAGUUGGUGGGGUAAAGGCCUACCAAGGCGACGAUCCGUAACUGGUCUGAGAGGAUGAUCAGUCACACUGGAACUGAGACACGGUCCAGACUCCUACGGAAGGCAGCAGUGGGGAAUAUUGGACAUUGGGCGAAAGCCUGAUCCGGCCAUGCCGCGUAUGUAAAGAAGGUCUUCGGAUUGUAAAGCACUUUAAGUUGGGAGGAAGGGCAGUAGGUUAAUACCUUGCUAUUUUGACGUUACCAACAGAGUAAGCACCGGCUAACUUCGUG